GAUGAACGCUGGCGGCGUGCCUAACACAUGCAAGUCGAACGGACUUACAUUGAAGCCUAGCGAUAUGUAAGUUAGUGGCGGACGGGUGAGUAACGCGUGGGUAACCUGCCUUGUACUGGGGGACAACAGUUGGAAACGACUGCUAAUACCGCAUAAGCGCACAGCUUCGCAUGAAGCAGUGUGAAAAACUCCGGUGGUACAAGAUGGACCCGCGUCUGAUUAGCUGGUUGGUGAGGUAACGGCCCACCAAGGCGACGAUCAGUAGCCGGCCUGAGAGGGUGAACGGCCACAUUGGGACUGAGACACGGCCCAAACUCCUACGGGAGGCAGCAGUGGGGAAUAUUGCACAAUGGGGGAAACCCUGAUGCAGCAACGCCGCGUGAGUGAAGAAGUAUUUCGGUAUGUAAAGCUCUAUCAGCAGGAAAGAAAAUGACGGUACCUG
rnacentral:rRNA from 1 species